rfam:Jonquetella anthropi DSM 22815 chromosome, whole genome shotgun sequence.
GUUGGUGAUUAGCGGAGCGGGUCCACCCGGAACCAUGCCGAACCCGGAAGUUAAGCGCUUCAGCGCCGAUGGUACUGCGAUUCAGUUCGUGGGAGAGUAGGUCGUUGCCAACC